CCCUUAGAUGUCCGGGGCUGCACGCGCGCUACACUGAAGGAAUCAGCGUGCUAAAACCAUUGUCGAAAGGCAUUGGUAAACCCAUUAAAAUCCUACGUGAUUGGGAUCGGGAAUUGCAAUUAUUUCCCUUGAACGAGGAAUUCCCAGUAAGUGUGGGUCAUAAGCUCGCGUUGAUUACGUCCCUGCCCUUUGUACGCACCGCCCGUCGCUGCCCGGGACUGAGCCGUUUCGAGAAAAGCGGGGACUGCUGCUGUCGGGGCUUUCGGGCCUUGGCUUCGGUGGAAACCGCUUUAAUCGCAGUGGCUUGAACCGGGCAAAAGUCGUAACA
rnacentral:rRNA from 1 species